rnacentral:lncRNA from 1 species
CAGGCCGGGUUCCCUGGAGUGCGUGUGAGCAAAGGGAGCCCCCGAGGCCCAGCAAAGGGAGCUGUCACCAGGAGACUCAGGACCAGGACAGCCUGGCUGAAAAACAUCCCUAACCCGCCGGCUGUCACCUGGGUGGCUUGGGGGUUCAGGGUGGCCGUUGCGGCGGAGUGUUUCACACCACCUUUGUGUCUGAGCUUUUCUAGUCCUGCAAAGCUGCCACUUAGCACUGCCCUCUGGGGACCCGCCUGGGCUGUAGGCAGCAUGCUUGGGUCUGGCAUUAAAGCUUCUUCCUCUGCCUCCUACGGUGACACCCAGAAAUGUGCUGCAACAGGGACUCAGGAGUCCCCAGGUGUGCGUUGCAGAAGCUGUGUGACCUGAGCCAGAGACCUUGGGGCCUCCGUUUCCCCACCUGUAAAAUGGGCCACUGUCACCCCAGUGGGGUUAUGGACGAACCGAACAAAUGAGGUCGUUGCGUGGAUUCUUCAGGCUGGAGCCAGUACCACGUUCCCUGGAAGGCAUCUGGGUGUCGCUUUCAGUCAGGAUCUCUGACUCAAAUGUAUUUUUCUCCCGUGGCCACAGUGAAGGAACUGCUGAUGUCACCUGGCCUCUCCCCUGUGGGCACGGUGUGGUGUGGCGGGUGACUCCUCUGGUUCUUAGUGUACAUACAACUUCGUCACAGCUGCGGAGACCCAGGCUCUGAAUCAGCUCCCAGGGGCAGGUUACAGGGAUUAGCACAGGGACGCAGCCCGCGGCCAGCUCAAGGUCACAGCCCAUGGCCAGCUCAAGGUCACAGGUCGGGGAGCCCCAGGACAGCGCAGGCCGCCAUCCUCAAGGGCUGGCCUGGUGCCCAUGUGGUCUCGGCACCCGGCGUGGGUGUUUUGAGUCCUCUCUGCUUCCCGGUUCUCUGAUUGUUCCCACUUUGCAGAUGGGAAAAGGGAGGCCCAGGGAGCUGUCGCCACUUCUGCCUCAAGUCUCAUGGCUGGGAGCUGGCGGAGCCGGGAUCUAGGCUCUAGAACUCAUGCCUUGGCUGCCGUGCCUCUGCGCCGGCUGAUGGAGAACAGGCAGAGCUGUUGAGUAGAUGCGGGGGGCGGGGAGUGUGCUCCCCACCCCCCGUUUGUCUUGCAGGCAGUGGUUCCCCUCCCAGGGUCCCCCUAACCCAGCACAGCUGUGUUACGGACCUGCUGGUUUCCUUGUUCCCACCCCUAACACACUUGCACACACGGAAGUACACCUGCUGGGGUUCCCAUUGUGGCUUAGUAGGUUACAGACCCGACUGUAGGACGCAGGUUCGAUCCCUGGCCUCACUCAGUGGGUUAAAGAUCUGACAUUGCCGUGAGCUGUGGUGUAGGUCGCAGAUGUGGCUUGGAUCUGGCAUUGCUGUGGCUGUGACAUAGACUGGCAGCUGCAGCUCUGAUUCGAUCCCUAGCCUGGGAACUUUCGUAUGCUGCAGGUGCAGCCAUGAAAAAAAAUAGAAGGAAAGAAAGAAAGAAGGAAAGAAAGACAGAUAAGCACGUGCAAACCAGUGUGCAUGCAGAGACACACGUACUGCGCCCAUGCACGCACACACACACACACACACACACUGACAUACACUUGUGCAGUGCUGGGCCCACAUACACAUGCAUGUACUUACACGUAUCCCACGUAAGCCUGUCGCAUGCAUACACUCGGAGGUGGGCCUGAGGGGUGGGGCCCAGGCUUGCAGGGUUCUCACACCUGCCCUGCUCCGCCACCUCCUGAGGACAGAGACCGCCUGGCGGCGGCGGCAGGGGACACCUGCCCCGGGGCAAGGUGCUCUGUGGGACGCUUCCACCUUGUACUUUCAACCCAGCUGUUCCUGCUGACAGCAGUGAGGUGUGACAGAAAUAGCAGCAGGAUUCACGCGGCGGUGACGGCCAGCGUUCUUGCAGAGCCUGGAGCUUAGGCCUUCUCUGGUUUGGGGCAGCCCGGGAGAGGGAGGCCCUGCAGCUGGCUCGGAUGCAGGAGGAUCUGGCAGGCCUCGUCUUGGUCCCUGCCAAAGGGACAGUGUCUGAGCUGGCCACCUGCAGGGCAGCAGGGGCAGCGUGGGCUGCAUACCUGCCUUGCUUGCAAAAGGGCAGGAAAGAGCAAACACCGGCUUGAGCAAUUAGAAGCUUGACAUCAGGGGCAGGUGGACAGGUCUGAGUCCCGGCGUGACCUACCCCUGGUGGACGGGGUGGGUGCGGCUUUUCAGGAGUUGCGGUCUGAUGGGCUGGGCCGGGGGUGGCACCACGGGCUCUCGAGCAGGGAAGGAAGCCCCCUUUCUAAGCCUGGCAUACAAGUGGAGCUGGGACAUGCUGGACUGUAGCUCCUGAGAGGUAGGCAUGGGUGGGUAGGUCGGCAGGGUGAGGUGGGGUAAGCCAGGCUCAGGGCAUCAGUGAGAGCGUGCCAGCCUGCCACAACAGAGCAUUCCCCACACAGGUGGGAAGAUAAUUGUUUUAAAUGCAAUUGAACAUGAAUGUGCGAUUCGAAAUUGUUAAGGGGGAGAGCUUCCUCUGUGCGGCACUCAGGUCGGUGGCGUCUUGGGAGUGCUGGGACUCGGGUUCGAGCCCCAGCCUGGCACCGUGGGUUGCUGCAACUGUGGUUUCGGUUGAGACUGUCGCUUAGAUCUGAUCCCUGGCC